CCUACGGGUGGCAGCAGUGAGGAAUAUUGGUCAAUGGGCGCUAGCCUGAACCAGCCAAGUAGCGUGAAGGAUGACGGCCCUAUGGGUUGUAAACUUCUUUUAUAUGGGAAUAAAGUGCAGUAUGUAUACUGCUUUGCAUGUACCUUAUGAAUAAGGAUCGGCUAACUCCGUGCCAGCAGCCGCGGUAAUACGGAGGAUCCGAGCGUUAUCCGGAUUUAUUGGGUUUAAAGGGUGCGUAGGCGGGUAUUUAAGUCAGUGGUGAAAGUUUGGGGCUCAACCCUAAAAUUGCAGUUGAAACUGGCAUUCUUGAGUAGAGUAGAGGUAGGCGGAAUGCGUGGUGUAGCGGUGAAAUGCAUAGAUAUCACGCAGAACUCCGAUUGCGAAGGCAGCCUGCUGGACUGUAACUGACGCUGAGGCUCGAAAGUGUGGGUAUCAAACAGGAUUAGAUACCCGAGUAGUC
rnacentral:rRNA from 1 species